AUAUAUCUUCUGAUUCAACCAAGUGAAAAUGUGGCUUCAGAGGAGGUGACAAAGUGUGACCAUACCCAAAGCCAAGUUCUGCAACUUGACUCUGAGAGCCUGCUGUCUCCACUGAAUUUGAUUAUGUGCUAUCAGGAGAAUCCAUCUACUGCCUGCAGCUGUCGAGCUCCUCUCCUGGGUUGUUCACGACUCCCCAGAAGACCCCAGAAAGAAAAUGGCACAACACUCGAUCCUGCCAGACACCCAGGAAGAUUUCAGGUCCUGU